GGGGAUGUAGCUCAGCGGUAGAGCGCACGCUUCGCAUGCGUGAGGUCCUGGGUUCAAUCCUCAGCAUCUCCA
rnacentral:tRNA from 2 species